rnacentral:lncRNA from 1 species
CUUACCCCCCCACCCCCUCCCCCAAAUGUCAGGACGACCAGCAGAUGCCAAAACAUAUCAAAAUAUAACUUAGAUACACAACAAGCAUACAUGACCAAAACAUCACUUUGCUGCACAAAAAGAAUCAGACUCUGAAUUAUUGUACAAUUAGCUUGUGAAGGAAAUCAAAAAUGCAGGUGUGCAUAACUAUAGGGAUUGGGAAUUCAAUGUAAUGGUUUUUAAGUCAUCUCCCAGAGUUCUUUUUCUGGGCAUAGCUAGUUCAGUUCAUUACUGCUCCAUUAGAAAUGAUUUGGUUGAUCUCGUUGCUGAGGAUGGCCUGAUCCAUCAGAACUGGUCAUCAUCUAGUAUUGUUGUUGAAGUAUAUAAUGAUCUCCUGGUCCUGCUCAUUUCACUCAGCAUCAGUUCGUGUAAGUCUCUCCAGGCCUUUCUGAAAUCAUCCUGUUGGUCAUUUCUUACAGAACAGUAAUAUUCCAUAAUUUUCAUAUACCACAAUUUAUUCAGCCAUUCUCCAACUGAUGGACAUCCAUUCAGUUUCCAGUUUUUAGCCACUACAAAAAGGGCUGCCACAAACAUUCGUGCACAUACAGGUCCCUUUCCCUUCUUUAUAAUCUCCUUGGGAUAUAAUCCCAGCAGUAACACUGCUGGAUCAAAGGGUAUGCACAGUUUGAUAACUUUUUGAGCAUAGUUCCAAACUACUCUCCAAAAUGGUUGGAUUCGUUCACAACUCCACCAACAAUGAAUCAAUGUCCCAGUUUUCCCACAUCCCCUCCAACAAUCAUCAUUAUUUUUUCCUGUCAUCUUAGCCAAUCUGACAGGUGUGUAGUGGUAUCUUAGAGUUGUCUUAAUUUGCAUUUCUCUGAUUAAUAAUGACUUGGAGCAUCUUUUCAUAUGACUAGAAAUAGUUUCAAUUUCUUCAUCUGAGAAUUGUCUGUUCAUAUCCUUUGACCAUUUUUCAAUUGGAGAAUGGCUUGAUUUUUUAUAAAUUAGAGUUAAUUCUCUAUAUAUUUUGGAAAUGAGGCCUUUAUCAAAACCUUUGACUGUAAAAAUAUUUUCCCAGUUUAUUGCUUCCCUUCUAAUCUUGUCU